ACCGCUUCUCGGCCUUUUGGCUAAGAUCAAGUGUAGUAUCUUCUUAUCAGUUUAAUAAUAUACCCAAAUAUAAUGCCUUAGGGUCCUAUAAACAUUUAGCAAUGUUUUUCCCUGGAGACAUUUCUCAGUCUUUUCUUCUUUGUUCUGUUCUUGUGAACAGCUUAUACAGUACAUGGGAAGUCUUC